CGCGCGCACGCGCUGGGACCCCACUUGACAGGUUGACCUUGUCUAGAGGAGCAUUAGUGGAAAAAAAACUGUGUAGCCCUGAGACAAUAGGAUGCCGACACGACCAAUGAGACUGGCCUGCAGGGGGCGCAAGGAUUCACUUCUCUCUUGGACACUGACGGGUGUAGACACGGUAAUUAUGAUCCUGGCGUUGGCCGUCAGUGGAAGAGCGUAGCUUAGGUGGGGUUCUGUCUGCCUCUGAUGGGGUGUGGAUGUAUGGUUCGUCACUGGUGAAUGGUGUUCGACGAUGCAGGUGGAUUUUGUGACGAGCGGAUUUACAAUGAGGGAAUGCUGUGAACGGGAAAAAUGAUGGUGAGUGCCUUUUUCACUCUGUUCAAGUGUUCGUUUUCCUCUGUUGCCCAACAGUCGUGCGAAUUUGUCCUGACGUGUCCUGACAUGCCCCGAUAUGCAUGCUUUCCUUUGUUAACGCUUUGUAUUUUGUCUUUUUUGACAAGGAACAUUGUCGUCUUGACGAUAGUGCUGCCCUGAGUUCUGCGCGCGUUGAUUUGUUAAGUGCCUAGUCCUCUUAUUAGCCGUUGAUGGAGUUACAUGUUAGGAUGUUUUGUUCUUUUGCAAGUCUCAUUUAGUAAGACUUUGGAAUUCCUACGAUCAGUUUUCAUGCAUGGUGCUCUUCUGCAAUAGUUUCCUAUGCAAUGGUUAUAGAAGAAUAAAGGAAAUAAUCUUGGGAUAGUGAUUCAAUAAAUAAUAGGUCCCCUGCUAGAGCGCACGCGUCCUUGAGCCACGCAGGUGCAUGAUGACGUCAUACCGUGGCUUCACUGCAGAUUGACCAAAGGAGCAUUAGUGGAAAAAAAAAAACAGUGUAGCCCUGAGACAAUAGGAUGAUGUCUGGACCAAUGAGAACUGCCAGCAGGGGGCGCAGGAAUGCUCUUCUCACUUAGCCUCACGACCAAUGAGAACGGCCAGCAGGGGGCGCAGGAAUGCUCUUCUCUCUUAGCCUCUCGCAGGUGGCGGUAGGAGCGCGCAGAGGGCGCUACGAGCGCGCGCGCGCGCGCAUGCGCGGUCGGGUGGAGCAGAGGGCGCUAGGAGCGCGCGCAUGCGUAGCACCCGUAGAGUGGCGCUUACGUCAGUCCACCUCUGGCUCUCGUUGGGAGAAGACGUGCGGUCGUUCGCUCCGUCGUCACUUGAUCCCUGGCUGUCGACGAGAGCAGUCGCAUCGGUCUGCGCUCCUACUGUGAGCUGUCCUAACUUGCCCAGACAUGCCGUGAUGACGUCACAGCUGACGUCACAGGAUGUCCGGAACUGGUGGUCAUA